CUACCGGGGUAUCUAAUCCUGUUCGCUACCCACGCUUUCGUCCAUCAGCGUCAAUCCAUUGUUAGUAACCUGCCUUCGCAAUUGGUAUUCCAUGUAAUAUCUAAGCAUUUCACCGCUACACUACAUAUUCUAGUUACUUCACAAUAAUUCAAGCCCUACAGUAUCAAUGGCAAUUUUUUGGUUAAGCCAAAAACUUUCACCGCUGACUUAUAAGGCCGCCUACGGACCCUUUAAACCCAAUGAUUCCGGAUAACGCUUGGAUCCUCCGUAUUACCGCGGCUGCUGGCAC
rnacentral:rRNA from 1 species